rnacentral:rRNA from 1 species
GAUAAACGCUGGCGGCGCACAUAAGACAUGCAAGUCGAACGAACUUAACCAUUAGUUUACUAUUGGAGCGGUUAGUGGCGGACUGGUGAGUAACACGUAAGCAACCUGCCUAUCAGAGGGGAACAACAGUUAGAAAUGACUGCUAAUACCGCAUAUGCCUUAAUCUUCACAUGGAGAUAGAGGGAAAGGAGCAAUCCGCUGAUAGAUGGGCUUGCGUCUGAUUAGCUAGUAGGUGGGGUAAAGGCCUACCUAGGCAACGAUCAGUAGCCGGACUGAGAGGUUGAACGGCCACAUUGGGACUGAGAUACGGCCCAGACUCCUACGGGAGGCAGCAGUCGGGAAUAUUGCGCAAUGGAGGAAACUCUGACGCAGUGACGCCGCGUGCAGGAAGAAGGUUUUCGGAUUGUAAACUGCUUUAGACAGGGAAGAAAAAGGACAGUACCUGUAGAAUAAGCUCCGGCUAACUACGUGCCAGCAGCCGCGGUAAUACGUAGGGAGCAAGCGUUAUCCGGAUUUAUUGGGUGUAAAGGGUGCGUAGACGGGAAGUCAAGUUGGUUGUGAAAUCCCUCGGCUCAACUGAGGAACUGCAACCAAAACUAGCUUUCUUGAGUGCUGGAGAGGAAAGUGGAAUUCCUAGUGUAGCGGUGAAAUGCGUAGAUAUUAGGAGGAACACCAGUGGCGAAGGCGACUUUCUGGACAGUAACUGACGUUGAGGCACGAAAGUGUGGGGAGCAAACAGGAUUAGAUACCCUGGUAGUCCACACUGUAAACGAUGGAUACUAGGUGUAGGGAAUAUUAAGUUUUCUGUGCCGUCGCAAACGCAGUAAGUAUCCCACCUGGGGAGUACGGCCGCAAGGUUGAAACUCAAAGGAAUUGACGGGGGCCCGCACAAGCAGUGGAGUAUGUGGUUUAAUUCGAAGCAACGCGAAGAACCUUACCAGGGCUUGACAUAUGCAGGAAUAUACUAGAGAUAGUAUAGCUCUUCGGAGACUGUAUACAGGUGGUGCAUGGUUGUCGUCAGCUCGUGUCGUGAGAUGUUGGGUUAAGUCCCGCAACGAGCGCAACCCUUUUUUCUAGUUGCCAGCACGUGAAGGUGGGAACUCUAGAGAGACUGCCGUAGAUAAUACGGAGGAAGGUGGGGACGACGUCAAAUCAUCAUGCCCUUUAUGUCCUGGGCUACACACGUACUACAAUGGCUGUAACAGAGGGAAGCGAACCAGCGAUGGUAAGCGGAACCCAAAAAGCAGUCCAAGUUCGGAUUGAAGGCUGAAAUUCGCCUUCAUGAAGCCGGAAUUGCUAGUAAUGGCAGGUCAGCAUACUGCCGUGAAUACGUUCCCGGGCCUUGUACACACCGCCCGUCACACCAUGAGAGUUGGGGAUACCCGAAGCCUGUGAGCCAACAAUAUGAGGCAGCAGUCGAAGGUAGAAUCAAUGAUUGGGGUGA